GGUUAAGCGACUAAGCGUACACGGUGGAUGCCCUGGCAGUCAGAGGCGAUGAAGGACGUGCUAAUCUGCGAUAAGCGUCGGUAAGGUGAUAUGAACCGUUAUAACCGGCGAUUUCCGAAUGGGGAAACCCAGUGUGAUUUGUCACACUAUCAUUAACUGAAUCCAUAGGUUAAUGAGGCGAACCGGGGGAACUGAAACAUCUAAGUACCCCGAGGAAAAGAAAUCAACCGAGAUUCCCCCAGUAGCGGCGAGCGAACGGGGAGGAGCCCAGAGCCUGAAUCAGUGUGUGUUAGUGGAAGCGUCUGGAAAGGCGCGCGAUACAGGGUGACAGCCCCGUACACAAAAAUGCACAUAAUGUGAGCUCGAUGAGUAGGGCGGGACACGUGGUAUCCUGUCUGAAUAUGGGGGGACCAUCCUCCAAGGCUAAAUACUCCUGACUGACCGAUAGUGAACCAGUACCGUGAGGGAAAGGCGAAAAGAACCCCGGCGAGGGGAGUGAAAAAGAACCUGAAACCGUGUACGUACAAGCAGUGGGAGCCUCUUUUAUGGGGUGACUGCGUACCUUUUGUAUAAUGGGUCAGCGACUUAUAUUCUGUAGCAAGGUUAACCGAAUAGGGGAGCCGAAGGGAAACCGAGUCUUAACUGGGCGUUAAGUUGCAGGGUAUAGACCCGAAACCCGGUGAUCUAGCCAUGGGCAGGUUGAAGGUUGGGUAACACUAACUGGAGGACCGAACCGACUAAUGUUGAAAAAUUAGCGGAUGACUUGUGGCUGGGGGUGAAAGGCCAAUCAAACCGGGAGAUAGCUGGUUCUCCCCGAAAGCUAUUUAGGUAGCGCCUCGUGAAUUCAUCUCCGGGGGUAGAGCACUGUUUCGGCAAGGGGGUCAUCCCGACUUACCAACCCGAUGCAAACUGCGAAUACCGGAGAAUGUUAUCACGGGAGACACACGGCGGGUGCUAACGUCCGUCGUGAAGAGGGAAACAACCCAGACCGCCAGCUAAGGUCCCAAAGUCAUGGUUAAGUGGGAAACGAUGUGGGAAGGCCCAGACAGCCAGGAUGUUGGCUUAGAAGCAGCCAUCAUUUAAAGAAAGCGUAAUAGCUCACUGGUCGAGUCGGCCUGCGCGGAAGAUGUAACGGGGCUAAACCAUGCACCGAAGCUGCGGCAGCGACACUAUGUGUUGUUGGGUAGGGGAGCGUUCUGUAAGCCUGCGAAGGUGUGCUGUGAGGCAUGCUGGAGGUAUCAGAAGUGCGAAUGCUGACAUAAGUAACGAUAAAGCGGGUGAAAAGCCCGCUCGCCGGAAGACCAAGGGUUCCUGUCCAACGUUAAUCGGGGCAGGGUGAGUCGACCCCUAAGGCGAGGCCGAAAGGCGUAGUCGAUGGGAAACAGGUUAAUAUUCCUGUACUUGGUGUUACUGCGAAGGGGGGACGGAGAAGGCUAUGUUGGCCGGGCGACGGUUGUCCCGGUUUAAGCGUGUAGGCUGGUUUUCCAGGCAAAUCCGGAAAAUCAAGGCUGAGGCGUGAUGACGAGGCACUACGGUGCUGAAGCAACAAAUGCCCUGCUUCCAGGAAAAGCCUCUAAGCAUCAGGUAACAUCAAAUCGUACCCCAAACCGACACAGGUGGUCAGGUAGAGAAUACCAAGGCGCUUGAGAGAACUCGGGUGAAGGAACUAGGCAAAAUGGUGCCGUAACUUCGGGAGAAGGCACGCUGAUAUGUAGGUGAAGUCCCUCGCGGAUGGAGCUGAAAUCAGUCGAAGAUACCAGCUGGCUGCAACUGUUUAUUAAAAACACAGCACUGUGCAAACACGAAAGUGGACGUAUACGGUGUGACGCCUGCCCGGUGCCGGAAGGUUAAUUGAUGGGGUCAGCGCAAGCGAAGCUCUUGAUCGAAGCCCCGGUAAACGGCGGCCGUAACUAUAACGGUCCUAAGGUAGCGAAAUUCCUUGUCGGGUAAGUUCCGACCUGCACGAAUGGCGUAAUGAUGGCCAGGCUGUCUCCACCCGAGACUCAGUGAAAUUGAACUCGCUGUGAAGAUGCAGUGUACCCGCGGCAAGACGGAAAGACCCCGUGAACCUUUACUAUAGCUUGACACUGAACAUUGAGCCUUGAUGUGUAGGAUAGGUGGGAGGCUUUGAAGUGUGGACGCCAGUCUGCAUGGAGCCGACCUUGAAAUACCACCCUUUAAUGUUUGAUGUUCUAACGUGGACCCGUGAUCCGGGUUGCGGACAGUGUCUGGUGGGUAGUUUGACUGGGGCGGUCUCCUCCUAAAGAGUAACGGAGGAGCACGAAGGUUGGCUAAUCCUGGUCGGACAUCAGGAGGUUAGUGCAAUGGCAUAAGCCAGCUUGACUGCGAGCGUGACGGCGCGAGCAGGUGCGAAAGCAGGUCAUAGUGAUCCGGUGGUUCUGAAUGGAAGGGCCAUCGCUCAACGGAUAAAAGGUACUCCGGGGAUAACAGGCUGAUACCGCCCAAGAGUUCAUAUCGACGGCGGUGUUUGGCACCUCGAUGUCGGCUCAUCACAUCCUGGGGCUGAAGUAGGUCCCAAGGGUAUGGCUGUUCGCCAUUUAAAGUGGUACGCGAGCUGGGUUUAGAACGUCGUGAGACAGUUCGGUCCCUAUCUGCCGUGGGCGCUGGAGAACUGAGGGGGGCUGCUCCUAGUACGAGAGGACCGGAGUGGACGCAUCACUGGUGUUCGGGUUGUCAUGCCAAUGGCACUGCCCGGUAGCUAAAUGCGGAAGAGAUAAGUGCUGAAAGCAUCUAAGCACGAAACUUGCCCCGAGAUGAGUUCUCCCUGACCCUUUAAGGGUCCUGAAGGAACGUUGAAGACGACGACGUUGAUAGGCCGGGUGUGUAAGCGCAGCGAUGCGUUGAGCUAACCGGUACUAAUGAACCGUGAGGCUUAACCUU
rnacentral:rRNA from 1 species